rnacentral:rRNA from 1 species
UACGUAGGUGGCAAGCGUUGUCCGGAUUUACUGGGCGUAAAGGAUGCGUAGGCGGACAUUUAAGUCAGAUGUGAAAUACCCGAGCUUAACUUGGGUGCUGCAUUUGAAACUGGGUGUCUAGAGUGCAGGAGAGGUAAGUGGAAUUCCUAGUGUAGCGGUGAAAUGCGUAGAGAUUAGGAAGAACACCGGUGGCGAAGGCGGCAUCCUGGACCAACACUGACACUGAGGAGCGAAAGCCAGGGGAGCAAACGGG